AUGGUUUGGUUUCAGUGCGAAGACUGCGGCGAGAACCUCAAGAAGCCCAAGCUUGCCGGCCACUUCCGCUCAUGCUCCGCCUACAAGCUUUCCUGCAUCGACUGCGGCGCAGUCUUCGGCCAGGACACCGUCCAGACGCACACCCAGUGCAUCUCCGAGGCCGAGAAGUAUGGUCCCAAGGAACUGAACAAGCCGUCCAGCAAUGCACAGGGUAAGCCAGACAAGCCAAAGCCAAAUGCCGAUGUUGAUAUCAAUGUUGGGUUGUCGACACGCCCUCCUUGGUUCUGCAGCCUAUGCAAUACAACUACCACCAGCAAGCAAACUCUCUUGGGGCAUGCUGAUGGCAGGAAACAUAGGGCAAAAGCAAAAGCCUUUCAUGCUUCUCAGAAGCAAGAAAAUGGAGCUGAACAAACUCCAAGCGACAAGGAAACUGGUGGAGCACCAACAACAGCAUCUACAGAACUAAAUGACGGGAAGGGUGCUGACAGUGAAAGAGAUGCUGACGAGGAUGUUGUGAAGAGAAAGAGAACAGAUAGCACAACCUCGGAGGAGCCAGAUAAUGCAAAAAGACAAAAUUUAUCGAACUUGAAGACUGGAGAGGCGACACAAUCUGAAAAUGGAGAAGCGGAACUCAAAACAAAGAGCAAAAGUGCUGCAGAAGAACUGGUCAAUGAUGCCAAUCAUCAAGAUAUUAAGAAGCAGAAAAUCAAGUGGAAGAAAAUUAUUACGAAGAUACUAGAGAUGAAUUCGGAUGGAGCUAUGAAGUUAAAGAAGCUACAAAAGCUAGUUAUCAGGGAAGUUUUAGAAUGUGGUCUGUUGAAAGAUAAGGAACAGCUGCAUGCUCUGUUGAUGGACAAGCUUCGAGCUCCAGGUUUUCUGUGGACGGGAAGAACAUUAGAUUGGUGGCCAAGAAUGAAGAAUCAUAGUCCCUGA
rnacentral:rRNA from 1 species